AGAUGACUUCAAGAUGACACCUCUCAUCCCACUGAUUUCCAGGGCUGAUUUGGCUAAUCUGGCUGGCUAGGCAGGUGUCCCUUCCUCCCUCCCUGUUCCAUGGGUGUCCUUCCCAAAGCUGAAGGCUUGGUCACUCAGUCAAAGAGGAUGGCCUUCCUUGAAUAGAGAUGGACUAGUCUUCAGUUGAGGGAAUGCAAGUAGCUCUACUCCGCUGCUAGACCCUCCCAAUGAGAUUAUCUCACUCCACCAUGGUGGACAGCAACAGUUGCACAUGUGAGCAUGCACUAGAGGCUCAGACAUUCUCCUAAGUGCCAAGUUCAACCCCUGGCAUUGCAUGUACCAGGGUGAUACUGUGG
rfam:Erinaceus europaeus unplaced genomic scaffold scaffold00032, whole genome shotgun sequence